GAGCAGUGUCUGUCCCCAUUGUCACCUGUCCCUGUGCCAAGUGUCCCUCUGUCCCCUGUGUCCCCAGAGCUGGAGCAGUGUCUGUCUCUGUUGUCACCUGUCCUUGUCCCCAGAGCUGGAGCAGUGUCUGUCCCCUCGCUCUGUCCCCUGUGUGUCCCCAGAGCUGGAGCUGUCCCUGUGCCCGUUGUCCCCAUUGUUGCCAGAGCUGAAGGAGUUCCUGUCCCUGCUGUCCCUGUCCUUGUCCCCAUUGUCACGGUGUCCCCAGAGCUGGAGAAGUCCCUCUGCGCCAUUUUCUCGCGCUUUGGGCAGAUUUUGGACGUUUUGGUGUGGCGCAGUCUCCGCGUGCGGGGCCAGGCCUUCGUCACCUCCAAGGAGAUGAGCAGCGGCACCAACGCCCUGCACUCCAUGCAGGGCUUCCCCUUCUACGGCCAACCCGUGUGCUGAGGCAAUGGACUCUGGCACAGCUCUGAGCUCGUGCCCGUGGCAACCACCCCUGGCCAUGGGGCUCCAUGGAGCUGCUCUCAGGAUACCCCCCAAGAGUUGGGGAGUGCCCCAGAACCGCUCAGGAAUGAAGGAAGAUAAAAGAUAAAAAGAGACAAAAGAAAAGGAACAGCAGCCACUUCCCUCUGUGUAUCACAGGGAAUGUGGGUCACCA